GUCUUCGUGGAUCCUUGAGCAUCUUCUCUUCUGAGAUGCAUGUAUCUCUCAUGCACCUUAGGCAUAAGAGGCAUGGUAAACAGAAUAGUGACUUGAAUAUAUCUUCCAAAGGAGUUGCUGUCCGUGGCAAGAAAUCAUCCUGAAGCACAAUGGAGUUGAUGACAUCUGCAUAUCUCACUGCCAGAUUCAGUGACAUACAUCUAGCUGGUGCAAUAGCAAAGCACCUGAUUCUUUUCCUAUCAAUAUUACCCAGCUUGUCAAGAUUUUGUGCUACCACCAUUGUCAAUAACGCUGCUACACCUGACCCAAGUGAAUGUCCGGUAACUGUUAAGGUAUAGUUUGGAUAUUUCUCCAGCAGUUGCUUCAUGAUCUCACAUUCUGCAUUUAAAACCAAUCCAGCUGCUUUUAAU
rnacentral:misc_RNA from 1 species